rnacentral:rRNA from 1 species
AUUGAACGCUGGCGGCAGGCCUAACACAUGCAAGUCGAACGAGUGGCGGACGGGUGAGUAAUGUCUGGGGAUCUGCCUGAUGGAGGGGGAUAACUACUGGAAACGGUAGCUAAUACCGCAUACCAUCAGAUGUACCCAUAUGGGGUUGGCUUGUAGGUGGGGUAAAGGCGCACCGAGGCGACGAUCCCUAGCUGGUCUGAGAGGAUGACCAGCCACACUGGGACUGAGACACGGCCCAGACUCCUACGGGAGGCAGCAGUGGGGAAUAUUGCACAAUGGGCGCAAGCCUGAUGCAGCCAUGCCGCGUGUAUGAAGAAGGCCUAAGGGUUGUAAAGGACUUUCAGCGGGGAGGCGUUACCCGCAGAAGAAGCACCGGCUAACUCCGUGCCAGCAGCCGCGGUAAUUC